CAUCACAUCUUUUUUUCAUAUGUAUGUUUCGAUUUUGCCCAUAUUUUCCCACUGCUAGGUUUAUCUUUUGGGUUUUUCUUCAUCCGUCAUCGUUAUGAAAUUCAAUUUCUGUUGUUUCUAUAGUUUGAGUGUAAAUUGGAUAUCACGCUUUUCUCCUUCUUCCUUUACAUUCAAAGAGUAUUUCUACAACAGUUUGUGCUUGUCUUCAAUAAUGUUUAUGUUCUUGCUGCAGGUAAUCGAAGGGGACAGAUAGUAAGGAAGGAAAAAUCAAAGAUGAAAUUCAUAUGAGUCUGCCCUUCUUUUCGUGAGGACCCAUAUGAAUCUUGAGCCAUGGGAGAAUAACAAUAACUUCAGAAGGUUGUAGGAUUUUGAGAAUUCCAGAACUUUGCUGCAAAAGCAAUUAACCCAAUCUGAAGGGUAACCAGCAAGAAGUCAAAUGUCUCUGUGAAAAAAUACUAAGCAGCAACAGUCACCAAUCACUGAAAGUAAGGCGUAUGUUACUGAAAUAUUUUAGCCAUCUGUAUAAUUGAAUUCUAAGCACACAAGUCUCAAUUUUACCUUUAUGCUUAAAGUAGGUAUCCCUGUUCUUCGAAUACCUGGUGAAAAAAAUAGUAGAAAAUAUUUUUUUCCUGCCAAUAUUGAACAAAUUAUUAGCAAGUACAUGACAAAUCUCCCGAUACUUAGCUGAAAGCAGCAAUUCAGACGACAUUGCGUUCGUUUAUUUGUUGAAAAGACAAUAUUUCUCCUCUCUAUAGUUAUUAAGCUCAUUCUAAUUUCAAGUUGUAACUAAAUAUCUUGGUGCUUUUAAAAUUGAUUACGAAUUUGUAGCAUGCUCUUCUUGAAUCCCUAGAUGAGAUGUUUUAUGUUGUAGUAAUAAGUAUGGUCGGCUCAAGCUUUUUUAUAUUUAUAGUAAAGAAGCAUCCAUAGAUGCACACAUACCAGCCAACGAGGUGAUUUGCAAAUCAAAAGAGGUGUGUGAUCAAGUCAGUUGAAUGGUUGAUCCCGCAUCUAUUGCAGUUUUCAUGGGGAUGUAUAGAACAUACAUAGAGCUGAGGUAAAAUUCUUACUAUACUCCAUAUUUACUGGCUUUAUAUAGCCAACAACUCUCUCUGCCGUAGAAUACUACUUCUGUUUGACUAUCUUUCGUAGAAGGUCUAUAUGCAGCCUAACUAAUGAAAUUGCACUAUAUAGCUUGCAGAAGCCAAUUCUGUUGUCAACAAAUAUGUCAUUUCAAAAUUCUUUGCUUUGGUACAGUUUGUCUGUAACAUCUGUUGUAUUGCUGACUUCAGGAAGAUGCACCAACUGACUGUUUUUAGUGUUUUCUGGAGCUUAUUGAUGGAGACAGGUUUUCGAAGGAAAAGAGGUUGCAGUUGACUGUGUUGUAUGUUCACAUUUUUGGCAUAAAAUGUUGAGAUCUUUUGGAACUGCCUACUUUAUUCUCUUAUAGAACACUUGCUGCUUUUCAUGAAAUGAAUAUAUAUUUCCUACUUUGAUAGAGGAGAUUUUUGUUGGUAGUAGUUAAUGCUCCUUGGAUACUUGCGCAGAAGUCAUAGAUUUUGUACUUGGCAUAAUGUGAUCAGUACCAUAUGCAUUAUGAAA